AACGCGAAGAACCUUACCUACUCUUGACAUCCUUAGAACUGGGCAGAGAUGCCUGGGUGCCUUCGGGAACUAAGAGACAGGUGCUGCAUGGCUGUCGUCAGCUCGUGUCGUGAGAUGUUGGGUUAAGUCCCGUAACGAGCGCAACCCUUGCCCUUAGUUGCCAGCGACUUGGUCGGGAACUCUAAGGGGACUGCCGGUGACAAACCGGAGGAAGGCGGGGACGACGUCAAGUCAUCAUGGCCCAUACGAGUAGGGCUACACACGUGCUACAAUGGGCAGUACAGAGGGCAGCAAAGCUGUAAAGUGGAGCGAAUCCCAAAAAGCUGUUCGUAGUCCGGAUUGGGGUCUGCAACUCGACCCCAUGAAGCCGGAAUCGCUAGUAAUCGCGAAUCAGAAUGUCGCGGUGAAUACGUUCCCGGGCCUUGUACACACCGACUGUAC
rnacentral:rRNA from 1 species